AAUAUUGCACAAUGGAGGAAACUCUGAUGCAGCGACGCCGUGUGAACGAUGAAGGCUNNNGAGUCNUCAAGUUCUGUUCUAGGNGAANUUAAUGACGGUACCCUAGUAGGCAGCUCCAGCUAACCACGUUCCAGCAGCCGCGGUAAUACGUAGGGGGCAAGCGUUGUCCGGAUUUAUUGGGCGUAAAGGGUUCGCAGGCGGACUUUUAAGUAAGAUGUGGAAGACUACAGCUCAACUGUGGUAAGCAUUUGAAACUGAAAGGCUUGAGUUAAGGAGAGGAAAGUGGAAUUCCUAGUGUAGCGGUGAAAUGCGUAGAUAUUAGGAGGAAUACCAGUGGCGAAGGCGACUUUCUGGACUUAUACUGACGCUGAGGAACGAAAGCGUGGGGAGCAAACAGG
rnacentral:rRNA from 1 species